rnacentral:rRNA from 1 species
GCCAGACUCCUACGGGAGGCAGCAGUGGGGAAUAUUGGGCAAUGGGCGCAAGCCUGACCCAGCAAUGCCGCGUGAAGGAAGAAGGCUUUCGGGUUGUAAACUUCUUUGACAGGGGAAGAGCAGAAGACGGUACCCUGAAAACAAGCCACGGCUAACUACGUGCCAGCAGCCGCGGUAAUACGUAGGUGGCAAGCGUUGUCCGGAUUUACUGGGUGUAAAGGGCGUGUAGCCGGGAAGGCAAGUCAGAUGUGAAAUCCGGAGGCUCAACCUCCGAAUUGCAUUUGAAACUGUUGGUCUUGAGUAUCGGAGAGGCAGGCGGAAUUCCUAGUGUAGCGGUGAAAUGCGUAGAUAUUAGGAGGAACACCAGUGGCGAAGGCGGCCUGCUGGACGACAACUGACGGUGAGGCGCGAAAGCGUGGGGAGCAAACAGGAUUAGAUACCCCAGUA